rnacentral:rRNA from 1 species
UGCGUAGGCGGUUAUGUAAGACAGAGGUGAAAGCCCAUCGCUCAACGGUGGAACGGCCAUUGAUACUGCUAGACUUGAAUUAUUAGGAAGUAACUAGAAUAUGUAGUGUAGCGGUGAAAUGCUUAGAGAUUACAUGGAAUACCAAUUGCGAAGGCAGGUUACUACUAAUGGAUUGACGCUGAUGGACGAAAGCGUGGGUAGCGAACAGGAUUAGAUACCCGCGUA